AUUGAACGCUGGCGGUAUGCUUAACACAUGCAAGUCGAACGGUAACAGGCCUUCGGGCGCUGACGAGUGGCGGACGGGUGCGUAACGCGUAGGAAUCUGCCGAUUAGUGGGGGACAACUUGGGGAAACUCAAGCUAAUACCGCAUACGCCCUACGGGGGAAAGCGGGGGACCUUCGGGCCUCGCGCUAAUCCAUGACCCUGCGUUGGAUUAGCUAGUUGGUAGGGUAAAGGCCUACUAAGGCGACGAUCCAUAGCUGGUCUGAGAGGACGAUCAGCCACACUGGGACUGAGACACGGCCCAGACUCCUACGGGAGGCAGCAGUGGGGAAUAUUGGACAAUGGGCGCAAGCCUGAUCCAGCAAUACCGCGUGUGUGAAGAAGGCCUGAGGGUUGUAAAGCACUUUCAAUAGGGAGGAAUAGCUAUCGGCCAAUGCCCGGUAGUCUGACAUUACCUAUACAAGAAGCACCGGCUAACUACGUGCCAGCAGCCGCAGUAACAC
rnacentral:rRNA from 1 species